GAAAAGAUAACCGCUGAAAGCAUCUAAGCGGGAAACUUGCCUCAAGAUGAGAUCUCACUGGGAACUUGAUUCCCCUGAAGGGCCGUCGAAGACUACGACGUUGAUAGGCUGGGUGUGUAAGCGUUGUAAGGCGUUGAGCUAACCAGUACUAAUUGCCCGUGAGGCUUGACCAU
rnacentral:rRNA from 1 species